rnacentral:rRNA from 1 species
GCAAAAUAACACCUUGAAUAUACCCAAUCUCAUCUGAUCUUGGAAGCUAAGCAGGGCUGAGCCUGGUUAAUACUUGGAUGGGAGACCAACUGGAACACUGGGUGCU